GAAGGUGGCUAGCGUUGCUCGGAUUUACUGGGCAUAAAGCGCGCGUAGGUGGUUGUGUAAGCGGGAGAUGAAAGCCCAUGGCUCACCCAUGGAACUGUCCCCCGGACUGCACAGCUCGAGGAAGGAAGGGGAGAAUGGAAUUCCCGGUGUAGCGGUGAAAUGCGUAGAUAUCGGGAGGAACGCCGGUGGCGAAAGCGAUUCUCUGGUCCUUUCCUGACACUGAGGCGCGAAAGCUAGGGGAGCAAACAGGAUUAGAUACCCUGGUAGUCCUAGCUGUAAACGAUGGGCACUAGGUAGAGGGGGUGUCGAUACUCUCUCUGUCGUAGCAAAUGUGUUAAGUGCCCCGCCUGGGGAGUACGGUCGCAAGGCUA
rnacentral:rRNA from 1 species